rnacentral:rRNA from 1 species
AUUGAACGCUGGCGGCAGGCCGAACACAUGCAAGUCGAGCGGAUGAAGGGAGCUUGCUCCUGGAUUCAGCGGCGGACGGGUGAGUAAUGCCUAGGAAUCUGCCUGGUAGUGGGGGAUAACGUCCGGAAACGGGCGCUAAUACCGCAUACGUCCUGAGGGAGAAAGUGGGGGAUCUUCGGACCUCACGCUAUCAGAUGAGCCUAGGUCGGAUUAGCUAGUUGGUGGGGUAAAGGCCUACCAAGGCGACGAUCCGUAACUGGUCUGAGAGGAUGAUCAGUCACACUGGAACUGAGACACGGUCCAGACUCCUACGGGAGGCAGCAGUGGGGAAUAUUGGACAAUGGGCGAAAGCCUGAUCCAGCCAUGCCGCGUGUGUGAAGAAGGUCUUCGGAUUGUAAAGCACUUUAAGUUGGGAGGAAGGGCAGUAAGUUAAUACCUUGCUGUUUUGACGUUACCAACAGAAUAAGCCCCGGCUACCUUCGUG